ACCGCGAGGUCAAGCAAAUCCCAUAAAGUUGUUCUCAGUUCGGAUUGUAGUCUGCAACUCGACUACAUGAAGCUGGAAUCGCUAGUAAUCGUAGAUCAGCAUGCUACGGUGAAUACGUUCCCGGGUCUUGUACACACCGCCCGUCACACCACGAGAGUUUGUAACACCCGAAGCCGGUGGAGUAACCUUUUAGGAGCUAGCCGUCGAAGGUGGGACAAAUGAUUGGGGUGAAGUCGUAACAAGGUAGCCGUAUCGGAAGGUCCGGCUGGAUCACCUCCUUUCUAAGGA
rnacentral:rRNA from 1 species